UGGGUUUUUGUAAAAUAUAUUCAUUUGUAUACAUUUUCAUAUUGACAUGUGAUUUCUAGUGAAAUGGCCAUUUGUCUCAUCCUUGUCUGUGAUUUGAUUGGACCUCCAUUUUACCAAUGUCUCGAGGACUUCUUUGAAAUUGGGCUUUGUUGACAUGGACAAACCAGUGCCACACUCCCAGUCAAGGCUCACCUAGGAGUAGGACCCUAUCCUUUCUGUUCAGUCACCUUUUUCUCUUAAAUUUGGCCCUUUUUUUUUUUUCAUUUUUUUCAUUUUACAUAUUAAUAAUAAAUUUUAGGCUUAUCAUUAUCACUAUUUAUGGUUGGGGCGUUUUUCUUUUUCUUUUUUCACAUGCAAGUAGCUGCAAUAAUGUCUUCUAAGGGUUAGUUCAAGGCUUCGAGGGGGCUCGGGCAGGUGACCCGUUAUCACCUUUUUUGUCUGUGGUGAUAGCGGAAGCCUAAAGCAAGAUGUUGCAUAAAGUAUUGGAGGUGGGGCUCAUUAGCGGGUUCAAGGUUGAUUAAGCAACAUUUUAAAUCUCACACUUUAGUUUGCAGCAUUAUUACUAUUUAUGGUUGAGAUUCUUUUCUUUUUAAUUUUUGGAUUACAAGUAAUUGCAAUAGGGGUCUCGUAUGGGCUAUUUCAAGGUUCUGAGAGGGCUUGGGCAAGAUGACGUGUUAUUGCUUUUUUAGUUGUGAUAAGGGAAACAACCCUAAGCAAGAUGUUGGAUGAAGGAUUGGAGGCAGGCUUCAUUAGCGGGUUUAAGGUUGAUAAAGCUGCAUUUCAAAUCUCUUAUCCUCAGUUUGCAAUUGACACUAUUCUCUUUGAUGACACUAAAGUAGUGAAGGUGGAUAAUUUGAGAAAAAUAGUUAGGUGAUUUGAAGUGGUGUCAGGAUUGAAGGUGAUCUUCUUAAAAGUGAGAUGUUGGGAGUUAGAACCUUAGAGGAGGUGAAGAAGUUAGUGGAUGUGUUUCGAAUUUAGAUAUAGUGUUCGGUUGUACCCCUCUUUUAUAACUUGGUCUCCCAUUAUGUAUUAGUAAGCCUGCAAAGCAUCUGCAGGACAAGGUUAUAGAAAGAUUGGAAAGGAAAUCGUCAAGAUGGAAAAAUUGACACCUCACAUUGGCAGGAAGAUUGAUGUUGCUCAAGGCUGGGCUUUCGACUUGGCUGCUUUGUUUUAGGUCACCUUUUUAAGUGUUUGAAGUCUUUGUUGAACAUGUUGGAGAGGUUAAGGCGAUUUCUUGUAGGAAGACAUAGGAAGUUUCAUCUGUUGAAGUGUGAUGAGGUGUGCAAGCUUUAUGGAAAGGGAGUGGUAGGUUGGAGAUUAUGAAUUUAGGGGCUGUUUGGCAUCUCUAUUGAUGAGAACUUAUUUGCGUAUUCUUUAAAAAAAUAAGCUCUUAUUUUGGAAAUAGACUAUUUGGUAAAGCUCUAAUUUUAGUGCUUAUUUUUUAUUUUUUAGAUAUUAGCCAAAAAGCUCUUAAAAAAUAAGUGAUGGGGAGGGCAAUUUUUCUUUAAGAGCUUAUUUGGCUUAAGCGGGUAGACGUUUUUGGUUAAUUUUUGGAUAAGUUUGUCCUUAAAACUUCUUAAGUAAUUCCCAUCUUACCCUCGUCUCUUCUCUUUACAAUCUCCUUAAGGAGGACCCACAUGAUGAACAACCCAUAUUGAAGGUGGGGCUCCACACGAUGAAUGGUACACAUAAUGCAUGGUCACAUCACUGGUAGGUCCCACAUGAUGGAUGCCCCACAUCAAAUUUUGGCCCCACAUGAUGGACGUCCCACAUCAAAGGUGGGACCCACAUGAUGGGUGGUGGACAUUGAAGGUGGGACCAUAUCAUGGAAGGUUGACAUCGAAGGUACGCUCACAUGUUGAACGACCCAUAUUGAAGGUUGGACCCCACAUGAUGGAUGGUGACCAUCAAAGGUGGGUCCCACAUGAUGGAUAGCGCACAUCAAGAUGUGGCCCCACAUGAUGGACUGUCCACAUCAAGUGGGCCCCACAUGAUGGAUGGUCCAUAACAAAGGCGGGACCCACACAAUGGAUGGUGGACAUCAAAGUUGGGCCCGCAUGAUGAACGACCAUAUUGAAGGUGCCCCCCAAAUGAUGAGAGACCCACAUAAAAGUAUGUUGGGGCAUGAUGGACCAUCCACGUUAAGUGGGCCCCACUUGAUGGAAAGUCCACAUCAAAGGUGGGGACCCACAUGAUGGAUGAUGGACAUGAAUGGUGGGCCCACAUGAUGAAAGGCUUGUAUUGAAGGUGGGGCCCCAAAUAAUGAAUGGUCCAUGUCAAAGGUCAACCCCUAAUGAUGAAUGGUCCACAUCCAAGACGAGCCUCACAUGAUGGACGGUCCACUUUGAAGGUUUGGCUCACACGAUGGACGAUCCACAUCAAAGGUGGGCUCCAUAUGUUAAGAGGAUCCACAUUCAAUGUCCGACAUAAUGGAUAGCCCUAAUGUCUUAAACCAUGAGAUCUGUCAAAACAAUCGUUUGGAUUGCUCUUAUGAUGAAGUUGUUGUAAUCUUUAAAAAUGACAUCAACUACUCCUAAAAACAGCUCUUAUUUGAUCGUUUUACCAAACAUGCUUAUUUCAUAUAAGAAC